rnacentral:rRNA from 1 species
UACGUAGGGUGCGAGCGUUAAUCGGAAUUACUGGGCGUAAAGCGUGCGCAGGCUGUUCUGUAAGUCAGAUGUGAAAUCCCCGAGCUCAACUUGGGAACUGCGUUUGAAACUACAGGACUAGAAUAUGUCAGAGGGGGGUAGAAUUCCACGUGUAGCAGUGAAAUGCGUAGAGAUGUGGAGGAAUACCAAUGGCGAAGGCCAGCCCCCUGGGAUAAUAUUGACGCUCAUGCACGAAAGCGUGGGGAGCAAACAGG